GCAUAGCUCAGUGGCAGAGCAUCUGUCUGGUUUGCAGAAGGUCCCAGGUUGAAUCCUCAGCAUUUCCAGGUAGGGCUCA